rnacentral:rRNA from 1 species
CCUCGAUGUCGGCUCAUCGCAUCCUGGGGCUGUAGUCGGUCCCAAGGGUUGGGCUGUUCGCCCAUUAAAGCGGUACGCGAGCUGGGUUCAGAACGUCGUGAGACAGUUCGGUCCCUAUCCGUCGCGGGCGCAGGAAAUUUGAGAGGAGCUGUCCUUAGUACGAGAGGACCGGGAUGGACGCACCGCUGGUGUACCAGUUGUUCUGCCAAGGGCAUCGCUGGGUAGCUAUGUGCGGACGGGAUAAGUGCUGAAAGCAUCUAAGCAUGAAGCCCCCCUCAAGAUGAGAUUUCCCAUUCCGGAAGGAAGUAAGAUCCCUGAAAGAUGAUCAGGUUGAUAGGUCUGAGGUGGAAGUGUGGCGACACAUGGAGCUGACAGAUACUAAUCGAUCGAGGACUUAACCAAUUU